UCAAAGGGAGUUACAUGUUUGUCUUGUCUGUGAACUUGAUCUACUGUUUUUAUAACAGAGCCUAAAGCAUUAUUUACAGUUUGUCAAGACAACUCAUCCUUGCUAGUUGCUUACUGAAAACAAAACUGAAUACAUAUAUUCUAUUACUUACCAUCUUAUCCAACACCUUAAAAGAACCAUAAGAAAAAUGGAAAAGAAACAAAUAUGAACACUAAUCAGUUGACCCAAACCAGAUUAAAAAAUGUUAGCUUCAUUUGCAUCUGAAUUAUACUUUUCAUCCACUUUGUUAGUAGUCUCCCUUCCCUCUUUAGUGGGGAAAAAAAAAAAAUCAGAAGAUGAUGAUGAUGAUGAUUAUUAUUAUUAUUAUUAACUUGCACAAAUUAUCUGUUUUCAGGAGCUAGCUCUGGUUUUAGAUAUUCUUGCUAUAAAAAUAAAACUCUCUACUGGUGAUGCAUGAAACAUACCUAGCAACAGAAGAUAUUAAGAUCAUCCAUCAGCAGCUGUACAGUAAUCAAAAAGGUUUCAUCACUUUCUUUCUGUUGGUUGGCUUUCCUAAAGGCCAAAUACAACCUAUCUUGAUAUUCAUAUCUCAGAGGAACUUCAGGUCAUUAAACACAUCUCUGUACAUUAUGAUUCAUGUGAGAAAAUGUUGACAUUUGCACUGGGAGGAAUAGCACUAGUUAAAGUGCUUUGAUUUCAUUCCUAGUAUAUAUUCUACCAAAAAAAAAAGGCAUUUUUAAUUUUUUUUUUUCUCUCAAACUCUUUGUGAUAUUAAAGUUCUUUGUUUCAGCAGCAAUCAUAGAUCUACUAUUGAUUAACUGUAUAGUAGGGAAGAGAAGUACUACAUUAUUAGUACGCCUCUGGCAGAUAACCAAAUAUAACUAUUAUUUUGAUGUCUGCUAAAAGAACUGUAGGAGAGAAAGCAUAUGUAGGUGUAUAGUUAUGUACCCUUAAAAUGAAAGCUUUCUCAUGAAACAAAAUGAUGAAUUUAAACCAUUACAAAGUUUCAAAUUUAAUCUCACUAAUAAAAAACGUAUCCAUUUUUUCUUUACAUUUAGUUCUUUUCUUUCUAUAGUUCAGAACUAAAAAAUCAACACUGUUCACUAUCACAUUCUUUUCUCUGUAGUAGUUUAUAAGACCAAUAACUAAAGAUACAGUAGAUCAAAGUAUUUGCUUUGAUUAUCUUUGUUCCUGUGAUUGCUUAUGUUCCACCCAGCUAAUUACACCUUUCUGCUUUCCAGAUUUAUACAAUAAUUGCUGGUGAGUGCUUUUUAGAAGGAUGCCUGCCAGGAGGACCGAAGAAAUGUGAAACAGACAUGCUAAGUCACGGCCUGAAACAGUGAUUGUACUCCUGGUGGGAAGGCAGGGCCAACCCAGGUGAUUUCAUGCAAUGCAAUGCACCUGUGUGACCAGAAGAGGUGGAGCCAGGAUCCACCCCUUCCCAGACCUCAUUUAAGGGUUGGCAGUGGAGGCAGAGGAUAUCUCUCUGGAGAUGUCUGCAUAUCUGAGUAUUUCUUCCUCUGUUUUUGUACCUACAGCUGCUUCAUUUGGGCGUUAAACUCAAGAAGCAUAUUCUUCAUAGUGUAUUGUUUGUUUUAUCUGUUAAUUAAGUCCACUGAUCAAUCAAGGAAGUUGUACAUGAACUAUGGACUGCUUUGCAUACAUAACUAAGGGCAAUUGAUUUCAUCAGAAGUAUGACUAUAGUUCUAAGUGCAGUGAUCAUCACAAAGGAAUAAUGUGAGAUCAAUAAACAUGGAAAUCUGAAGAGAUGGCAGACAGAAAUUGGCACUGAAGCAAAUGCUGAGCACAGUGAUGAAGUCAAAGCACAAGAAUGUUAAUACAUGGGAUCUAGAUAAGGAAAGAAGAGAUGAGAAUGACUAAAGAUCUGGAAAGCCUGUAUUGCAAGAUGUCUUUUUAACUCUGUAUUCAAUAAGCAGAAGCUUAAUAGUUUUCUUGAUCAUGGUCCUUACUGAUAUACAAAGGGAAAAUUCUUUUCUUUGUUUAAGAAAUUGCAGGAUCUCAAAGCUGAAAGCUGCCAUUUGGAAAACACAGGCCAGAAAGUAGCUGAAGUAGUUGUUCUAUUGUAGCAGUGAGGAUAUUAAAACACUAGACAUUUGUCUGUACCUGCUCCCCAAAAGUGUUGGGUCUCUUUCUUCUAGCAUUUCAGUUGGAGUACUCUUAAAUCUGAAUUCAGAUUAUACUAUUGCACCAGUCAGUAUCACUUUUUCCAGCCUGAGACCUGAGCAUAUCCACUGUGGCAUGAAGAAGAUGCUGAAUUCAAAUUGAUCAUGCUUUGAGAUGGUGCUGUAUCCAUGAUCUGAAGACCAAGACAACAGGAGAAGAGGAGCAAGAGGGGUCUCUCCAAUGUAUCAAAUUGUAAAUGGCUAACUCAACUGACCUAGGGUGUAUUUGAAGCAGUGAAUUCUCUAAGGAAAAAAUGAAGCUCAGUAAAACGGUUGUCUCUUUCUAUAGUACAAUACUGAGCAUUUAUUUUGCCAAGAUUCUUAUGUUCUGGUUUGGUUCUGGUUCACCAGUUGUCCACUUUACUCAUUGAGCUCAAGACUGAACUCUCUUUUAAUUGGAAUAGCUAGUUUUAUCUGAGACAAAACUCAGAGCUCUCAGAGUGGCCAGGGAGGAGGGCAAAAUUCCUGAGGCGGUGCGUGUUAUGAUGGGGUUGGAAUCUACUAACACUGGGAGAAAUGGUACGGGGAGCGUACUUUCUUGCAGGUCCCCUGAGGAAGAGAGCACCGCAAAUAUGCCCUCAACUACGGCGCCUAACACCUCAUCUGCAUCUUCGGCUCCCCCCUCGGCUCCAGCUUCAGACAAACAAGUAGAAGGCGGCACUCAACUGUCUACACUUUUAUCUUGCAAAAUUGCCCGAGUGCAGGAAUCCAAGGUCGUUGAAAUACGGAUACAGGGAUACGGUCCCCCCGCCAUAUCCACGGAAACCGUUGUAUCCUUCUCUGUGUAAUCUACCACCACCUGCGGGGACAGGGGGAGAAGUGAGCUGGGGAAGAAGGGGUGGGAUGCUAGCCUCCUCUCUAGAGGUGGAAAACAAGCGCGGUAACACCCAGGGGGGUGGGGUCUGUGGAAAAGGCUUGGGUACAGAUUGGUCAAAAGUUAGGGAGGUGGUAGGAAAGGAAAGGGAAGCGAUGCAACUUACAGGUGCUCGGGUGAUAGCGUCCAGCCAGCACCAUCCACCCUGAUUGUUCCUGAAAGAGAACAUCUGGCCAGCACCGUCUGCUCAGGUUGCACCCAAUGGAGAAAUACAAAAUGAUGAUCGUUGCUGGACCCACUCCCUACCACUGUAUCAGGACCCAUUGACUUGACCUACAUAUCCUUUUAAAAGAUUGAGUGCGCAUGCAACCAAUUGGAAGCCUCUACAACAGUCAGUGCUUGAUCAAAGGGAGACAGGCAGAGGGGGAGGGAUGUGGAGCCUGCAGCUUCCUGUUGCGACUGAAAAGGGUAGCAAAAGAAGGAGAAAGGUGAAUUUGCAUUUAGGAGUUAAGAGGGAUGCACGAACAGAUUGUGGGAAGUUUAGAUGUGGCCUGAUAGAGGAAGGAAGAGUACUGGAGACCUUCCUGAUAGUAGGGAAUGAUAACGGAGGCCCAGAAUGGGCCUAUAUGCCUAUACGCAUCUGCAUUGUACUUAAUCCACUGCAGUAUACAUUGUGGGCAUCAGAAUGGGUUCCCUUCAGGGACAGGUGGCCAGAUGGAGGCCUGGAAAACAAGCAACAAGGAUUUGUUUGUGAGAGCAAUACUCUGAAAGCUCGAGACAUCUGCCUUGAUAUUGAACAAAUGUUUGUCAUUUUCAGGUACACUCCAGUGAGGUACCUGAGACAAUGUUGGUGUAUAUUGGGAAGGGAUUUGUUUGUAUAAGGAUCCUUUGUAAUUUCAUAUUCGUAGACAGUGCCAGUAGACCUAUCAGCAAUCACUCUAUUGUCUAAUCUCUCUGUCUAUAACUUUACCAGGAUGUGGCUUUCAUUCUUCAGUGUUGGUGACAUCACAACAGUUAUUCCAGGCUAAUUAUAUGCUGAUUAAAGACCUAUCACCAGCUGCAAUUGGAAUGAAUCUUGCUUUGGUAAGGAAGCUGUUGGAACAUGAGAUAACUUGCAUCAGAGGCAGUGGACAGAAAACAUUCAUCAUGGUUGACCAUGGCAAAAGUGAGAUGCAUCACGUCCGAGAGAGAGAGUAAAGAAGGAAGGAGAACACAACUGGUGGGACCUGGAUGGUACACCAAAGAAACAGGGAUGUUUAACUCUACUGCAUUUAGUUGUAGUUCAGUUAUAAUUGUAUUAGGUCUAAUAUUAACACUGGUAAAGCUGGGCAUAUGGGCAACGAACUUUAUGUAGAUCGCACAUUUAGGACAUUGGGAUCAUUUAGGCAAUAGGUUAAUUGGUUAGAGUAGGAUUAUUUGGCAGAUUGCCAUGUAAUGGGUAUGUUUUAUUGAGCUUGGAGCGGGGCAAUUGCAGCAGGUGACUGUGUGACACCCCUCGGUGUGUGACGCAGCAGGACCUCCCAAGCUGUUUGAUUGAUGUGUAGCACAUGCUUUUGGGGCAUAGACAAUGCACUUAGGGUUUAUAAGCUAGAGUUCACGUGUAAUAAACUUCAUUUUGCUGUUCAUCAUAUUGGUGUAUACGUGCAGUUAUUUGGUCCUGACCUGGUUAGGGUUAGUAGCGUAGUAGGCAAUGCAACAGGCAUGGGCACGAGUUUAUAUAGAUGUGGCACCCGAAGCUGCUAAACAAUGUGCUUGUCAAUGAGCUGUUUCCUGUGUGUGUCUUGGGGGUGGGGAGGGGGGAAUAACAGCCGUGUGGAUAACAUACAGCAAGUAAUUCCAAUGACUCCUAGUGUGCUAUGUAGCAGUUGACUGGAACCUUUGUUAUUCUGAUUAAAAGCCGUAGAUUAAUGCAGCUUUCUCACAAAUUUGUAAGCUCUUGCAUACACCCAAGUCCAGUUCCAAAUGACUACUUGGGCCCAUUGAGUACUUACAGUGGAGUCAAAUUAAGCAGGACUACCAGAGAAGUUAACUAUGACCCAUUUCCUUUCUUCUCAUUUCAAUACUAUUUGGUACUAUCAGAGUUGACAGAGUUUUGUACUCUGAUCUCGAGCUAAAUCAUAAAGCUAUCAUACUUUAGAAAAUCUUUUUCCUCUUAAAAAAAAAAAAAAAUGUUCACAGCUGAAAGCAACCUUAGUAGCCCUGUUGCCAUUGGUGAGAAGAUAGAGAUAUAUUUUUUACUUUUAAUUAAGUAGAUAUAUUCAGCAAAGCAACUUAACAAUUAAAAUUAAAUGAGAUGUUUUAGAAUAAUACCUAUAAAGGAGAGCAUAGAUUUGUCAGAGCAAUAAGUUAGGUAUUCCACACUUGGUGCUUCCUGUUUCUUCAUUCCAUAGUUGCAACAGUAUGACUUUGAACUAACAUUCACUAUAUUUUAUGUUAGUCUCUCUCUAAGUAACAAACAUUAUGCCCGUUCCCUGGCUGGAGGUAGUAACUGGCCCUCUGUUAUAACUGAGAGAUUUUUGUCUGUACAAGUCCACUGUAAUCAAAAAGUCAAUGGGAACGUUAUCUUUUAUCUUACUGGGAACAGUAUUGUCCUUACAUUUCCAGUUCUGUACCUUUGGUUUGUUUGCCUUUGUUUGUUUGCAUUGCCUUUUAUAGCUGUUUUGAAGUUUUUUUUCUAGAGGUAUAUUCAGCUCUUCAGCAUUACAAGGAACAUUUCCCAGAAUGUUUACUGAUUAUUGAACUACAGUACUAUGAUUACAAAACCAUUUUCAUAUAACUUCACAUCACCUGAAAAGAUUAAUGUGAGUGUAUAAAAUGUCUCUACUGCCUACACUUCUAUAUAUCUGUACAUUCUCCUUCACUCGUGACCUCUUUCUUCAAAUACCUCAAUAUCCUAGACUUAAUACUAAGAGUCUAGUCAUAAAAUGUGAAAGAGUUUUCCUCUGGAGCUAUUCUGAGAUUUUUCUAAUUAAGUUAAAAAAUGACUGAUGCUGUAAAGGUCACAUAUUCCAUCUACUCUUCUCUAACAGCGCAAUGUCAGGGAAUCUGUUUAUGAUAUUUAAGAAGAAGAUGUGGGGACUUGUUUUUUAAGUUUUCAUGAUGAUGAUGUAACAAGAUCUCAGUGCAUGAAAGGAACAACAAUUAAAAGAAAUAAAGCAGAACCAAACAAACUUCUUAAAAAAUACUUUAUCUUGUAAGACAUCUAUGGUAUUGAUAAUUUUAGGUUAACUUUUUAAGCAAGUAUAGCUUAUAAGUACAGGUACACAUCUUUGAUGUCAGUCUCUUAGGGCACGUGCAAGUUGCAGUAUUGUUUCAAAUCUCCAGUUACUUUGCAAGGAAACCUUCAUGUAACUUAAGCUUCACAAAAUGAUCAAAGCACAAUAACAAAGAAUAAACUUGUUGGAUCAGUACGUAACUUUAAGGUAUUUAAAUACUGAGAAGUAUUUAUGCAGCUGUUGCUUAAGCAUAAUUUUUGGGUAUGCAAUGCUCUUCUUUACCUCCCUGCUUUGCUUUUCUUAUGGUAAUAUCUUUCUGUCAUAUUUACAUUUCUAUCUUCAUAUCCAGUUGUUCCCAUUUGACCUGGCUUUACUUCUGUUCCAGGAAACACAAAACAUCAGAUAGUUGUAGCCAGUGACAUCCACUGGAUUUUUCUCUAAGAUGAUGUUGUCCAGGGUUUUUUGCUAUUAACAUUACCUUCUGAACUAAAUUUUAAAUCCCUUCUCACAGGGAUAUACAUAGAAAGUGUUCAGGAAAAUAUUUAUGGAGGACAGGUGCUAGCUCCCAUCACAUCUCCUUCUCUGUGUGUUUAAUAAGAUCUAGCCACUAGGUCAUACUCUCAUUACUGAAAGCCAAGUGCGGUUUCCUUCGCACAUAAAAGGUCUGCUAUCAAAGCAGUCUCGCUGGGAAGAUGAGACUUUUUUCCCUAAGAUUUGCAUAAAAUUCUUUCAGGGCCUGACAGUAGGAAAAGCAAGGGAGUUAAUGCAGCACAGUCUGUUCAUACCACCCCCUUACACUGUCAGUUUGACCCUGUUGACUUCCUGGAAGUAGUUAAAUGUGGCUUAUAGAGAUUAUAGUCAAUACUUGACAGGUUGACACAACAUCUAGAAGUAUAAUAAAGCAGAUAGAAACAACAUUCUUUUUCCAUAUGUAUAGAUAGAUGGUUAAGAUGAAGUUCCACAGUAUUUUUAGGAAGGCAUUCUGUCAAAAACUGCAAGAGGAUGGAUUGUUACCCACAGGAGAGGUUCAUCUUGUUAGUGCACUUUCAUAUCACUAAGUACAAGGUGUCAUGCAACGUAUUUAAAAAAUAAACAUUAAAACAAUAAAAAUGGAAAUUAGAUUUGAAAAAAGUCUCUGUUGGAGUAAGUGCUAAAACACAGUAACUACUCAGAAGACUGCAAGAGAAUUGUGCCAGGCUGUGGAAGGAUGGAAAGGAUAUUGUGAGAAAAAGCCUUAACUGAUUGCACGUGUAGUAUAGUACAGCAGAAAAACACCAAGACUGUUUCAGAGACCACUCCCAGUAUCCUGUUGGUUGUUGGGAGCAGAAUAUUAAGGAAGGUAAAUAUGCCUGUAUCUUGCCUAGAUCCACAAAAAGUUGCAAGUAAUGUCAGAAAACUUAAGUCUUAAACUGGAGAAAAAAAAUAAAACCCGCCUGUUUCCAAAUUUGACUAUCACAGUGCUGUGGUUGCUACUUCAUAUACCAGUCAAAGCAUUUGUUGCUGUACUAAAGCACAUCCAGAACAAUUUCUUUACUCUUCAGUGCAAGAACACAUUUUUCAGUUUGUGAGGGGAGGACUGACAUUGAGAAUUACAUUGUACUACCACUCCACCAUGAAGGAAAUGGGUUUCUUCAUCACUUUGUAAAAUUUCUUCAGUGAGAACCUCACUGAAAUCUGCACAUAAUUCUCCACCAGCAAUUGUGCAGGUAACUGCUCUUCUUAUUAAACAUUAAUUUCAUCUUAUCCCUUUAAUCACUGCAUAUUUUUCAAUUUCUUGUGAAAUUAUUUUGAUGUUCUUCAACAUGUGUUGGCAGAAGCUGUUAUCCAUUCACUCAUCAAUAGAAUUUGACAGAGUAAUCUCUGGAACUGAACACAUCAUGACAUGUUGGAAGCAGUUCUUCAACUUAACACAGUGAUUGAAUUUAAUAUUAAUAACAUUUGCAUUCUGGCUAUGCAAGGAAAUAUAAUGACACAGAUUAUUAAACUCCAGGCUGGAGGGAGGAAACUAAUUGGCUGUAGAGGUCACGAAGGAAAUUCCCUUUACUACAGUCUGUCAUCUCACAAUAGGUUGUUGUAUUACCCAAGAGUUCACUUCCAUCUAGCAUAUUAACAUCAACCUCUCAAGGGAGGUUACAAGCUAAAAUGAUCUUAUGUUCUGUUCUUUUAUAGUAAAUCUUAUUUUCAUAUGAAAAUUUAGAUCUCACCUAUUAGUUUUAAUAGCAGGCAAACUCAUAUUUGAUACCCUACAUGCUAUGAAUCUUUACCCCACUCAGUUACAAAAGAAAUAUCUCCUAUGAUCUACUCAUUUUUAUUGAGAAUACUGUUUAACAUCCUAGAUAUCCAAAAUCAGGUAACUGAUGAACUAUAAGAUCCCUUAUUAUCAGAGAAGUAUUAAAUGCUAUUGAAAUUAUUUGUCAUUGCUUUUUUUCAGUGUACACUUGUAUAUUAUGCCAUUCAUAGUGAUUAAUUUCAGAUGGCAAAAAGCAUAGUUAUAUAAAUACUAAUUAGAUUGAAAUGUGGAGCAGUUCAUUCUUUAUUCCAAAAGAAAAUAUUAAGUACAACUAUCUGUUUUCUUGUGCUAACAGUAUGUAGAAUCCUCAUAGGAAAAUGAACCGAUGCAAAGAUGUGCCUUUAUAAAGGAUCAUGAAGAAAUAUCCAUCAUUUUAUGUAUUUUAAACACAAUCACUCUCCAAAAUAGUUGAUAUUUCUUUCCAAAAAUAAUUUCUAGUCAGUCUCACCGAAUCUGACUUCUUUCCUACCAUUAUCAUAUUUUCCGGGAGACUGUACAAUCAAUGAACAUACAGAUGAUAUAGUAUAUCCAAGAGCUUGGCUUAUGUAGUUAUUAUACUAGAGCAGAAAAGGACACUCACCCAUAUCCUGGGCUCACGUGGUAAAAUCCAGUGGAGUGGAUCUCCAGAAGUGAUCCUUCCCCACUGGUAGCCAGCUCUUAAAUGGGAUCCAGGAGAGGUGGAGCCAGGCUCCACCCCUUCUGGCAGCACAGGUGAAUUGCCUUCACCUGUGCUCCUGUGGCUGACUCAUUGCUCACCUCAGGUGAUCAAUCAAAGGUUCAGGCCUUGAUUCAGCAGUCCCCGUACAAUCCACCCUUUCACAGCAUGAACCAAUGAUCAGGCUGACUAAAGAGUAAGCUUCUUCAAAUACAGAGAUCCGAUAUACCGUGACACUUAUACAAUUUCAUCACAACGCAUGUUGGUAAGAUUCAAGAUGAAUGACUAUCGGUGAACAUUGAUAUUCUUUUAUGGG